rnacentral:rRNA from 1 species
UACGUAGGGUCCGAGCGUUGUCCGGAAUUAUUGGGCGUAAAGGGCUCGUAGGCGGCCAACUAAGUCAGACGUGAAAUCCCUCGGCUUAACCGGGGAACUGCAUCUGAUACUGGAUGGCUUGAGUUCGGGAGAGGGAUGCGGAAUUCCAGGUGUAGCGGUGAAAUGCGUAGAUAUCUGGAGGAACACCGGUGGCGAAGGCGGCAUCCUGGACCGACACUGACGCUGAGGAGCGAAAGCCAGGGGGAGACAAGCGGG